rnacentral:piRNA from 1 species
UGGACAGAAUCCCUAGGAGUGGUGCUUGAG